rnacentral:rRNA from 1 species
UACGUAGGGUGCGAGCGUUAAUCGGAAUUACUGGGCGUAAAGCGUGCGUAGGCGGUUCGCUGUGUCCGAUGUGAAAGCCCCGGGCUUAACCUGGGAAUGGCAUUGGAAACUGGCGGGCUUGAGUGCGGCAGAGGGGGUGGAAUUCCGCGGUGUAGCAGUGAAAUGCGUAGAGAUGCGGAGGAACACCGAUGGCGAAGGCAGCCCCCUGGGUCGACACUGACGCUCAGGCACGAAAGCGUGGGGAGCAAACAGG